UACCAGCACCCCGAGUGGUCGGGACGAUUAUUGGGCCUAAAGCAUCCGUAGCCGGCCUUACAAGUCCUCCGUUAAAUCCAGCUGCUCAACAGAUGGGCUGCGGGGGAUACUACAGGGCUAGGAGGCGGGAGAGGCAAGCGGUACUUUAUGGGUAGGGGUAAAAUCCGUUGAUCCAUAGAAGACCACCAGUGGCGAAGGCGGCUUGCCAGAACGCGCUCGACGGUGAGGGAUGAAAGCUGGGGGAGCAAACCGG
rnacentral:rRNA from 1 species